UUACUCCUGCCGUGUUCGCCAUUGCCAUAUAUUCCUUGAACCUUUCAAGUGCAACGGCUGCGGAACAAGGUUGACGGGUGUGAGCGUCGCUAGUCCGACGAACCCGAAGUUGACAUGACUGUGGCCACUCUGAACCAUAAGGUUCGGGAUGCCGGCAAAGCGGCACUGGCGGGAAACCA
rnacentral:other from 1 species